CGUCCUCUCAGAGCAAAAUAACAUGACUAGCUGUAGGGGAGGAGACAAGCCAGCAGGGUUAGGUUUCAGGUUGAGAAUUUCAAUAAGUUAUGAAAUAAUAAGGGCGAUAUGUAAUGAAGCAAGAUAACUUUAAGUUUUAGAAGCACACAUAUAAACAAGGAAACCGUCUGGGAAACAGAAACAGACAUCAUGACCAUUACCAGAGAUGAACAUGCAAGAUAUUUUCCCAUGGGCUUCUUGAAGAGCCAGCAAAACUUCAGACCAUCUUGAUGGACACUCACAUCUAAUAACAGUACUCCAUCACAAUUACAUACUGUAAGUUGUUCAUCAAUUGGAUUCUGGAUGAUAUGGAUCAACUUGAAUUUCAGUUCUUUGCCACCACAAAAAAGAGUUGCUGUGAAUAUUUGCAUGGCAUUUUCUAUCCAUUGCCUUGGAUCAUUGCACCACUGAGAAGAACCAAGUCUUUCAGAGUUUAUUAUCGCAUAUUCUUGCUGUUACUGCAUACAAUGUAAUCCUGAUUCUGCUUGUUACACUCAGCAUCAGUUCAUAUUCUAGACUAUUUUCAUCAGAUGCAAGAAGAGGUGAUUUUCAUUUUGUGAUGGUAAAGUAAGAUCCAUUCAACACAAAGAAUGCCACCUAGGAGGCACAUAUUUAGAUCUGCAUAUAUUUAACCUAAUCUGAAUUGUCUUGAUCCCCAUCUUUAUUACUGAACAAUAGAAAUUGAUCAAAGGAAUAAUUUUAGGAUCCUAAAAGAACCUUAAAGAGCUUCUCAACAUACAAAAAGGAUUCCCAUGUGCAUAUACACUUUUCUUUUACUAGAACAUAAGCUCCUUGAUGGAAGAAACUAUCUUUCUGUCUCCUUGAAUUUUUACCCCUAGUUCUUGGCACAUAAAUAAACAUUUAAUAAAAUA